rnacentral:rRNA from 1 species
CCCUUAGAUGUCCUGGGCUGCACGCGCGCUACACUGAUGUGUCCAGUAAGCACCUAACCUCUUCCGAAUGGAACGGGUAACCUUUGCAAAGCACAUCGUGAUGGGGAUAGAUUAUUGCAAUUAUUAGUCUUGAACGAGGAAUUCCUAGUAAGCACAAGUCAUCAGCUUGUGUUGAUUACGUCCCUGCCCUUUGUACACACCGCCCGUCGCUCCUACCGAUUGAAUGUUCCGGUGAGCUCUUCGGACUGCGCGGUCUGCAGUUUCUGCGUUCCGUGCGGAAAGUUGCGCAAACCUUAACAUUUAGAGGAAGGAGAAGUCGUAACA